GAUGAGCUGGCUGAGUGGUGAAGGUGAUGGACUGCUAACCAUUGCACUCUGUACGUGUGGGUUCAUAUCCCACCCUUGUUG
rnacentral:tRNA from 1 species